UUUCAUCUCUGAAAUGCAUAUG
rnacentral:miRNA from 1 species